CUCCUCCGGACCCCGGUCCUGCAUGAGAAAAUUGACACCAACAGUUCAAGAUUUGUAAGAAAUUACAUAAUGUGUGAGGUUGUGUGGACUCUUCAGGUGUUGCUCACAUCGGGAUGCCGCGGGACACUUGAAGAGCAGAUCCUUCACAUCCUUUGAACAACUCUUGUACUUCAAUUGGCUUGAAGCAUUAUCAGAGCAUCCUUGACAUGAUGCCGGGGCCUAACACUGCUUUAGUGAAAGCACAGAGACAAGCAAAAGAUAAUUGAUCUAUUUGGCACCUCCUGACAUAGUCAGGCUAGUGUUUUCAUCUCACUGAAAAUUCAGAAUCAAAAUCAAAAACAGCUGAGGCAGUUACUU